rnacentral:rRNA from 1 species
ACGGGAGGCAGCAGUGAGGAGUAUUGGUCAAUGGACGGAAGUCUGAACCAGCCAAGUAGCGUGCAGGAUGACGGCCCUAUGGGUUGUAAACUGCUUUUAUACGGGGAUAAAGUGGGGAACGUGUUCCCUUUUGCAGGUACCGUAUGAAUAAGGACCGGCUAAUUCCGUGCCAGCAGCCGCGGUAAUACGGAAGGUCCGGGCGUUAUCCGGAUUUAUUGGGUUUAAAGGGAGCGUAGGCCGGACUUUAAGCGUGUUGUGAAAUGUAGGUGCUCAACAUCUGCACUGCAGCGCGAACUGGAGUCCUUGAGUGCGCAGGAAGUUGGCGGAAUUCGUCGUGUAGCGGUGAAAUGCUUAGAUAUGACGAAGAACUCCGAUUGCGAAGGCAGCCUUCUGGAGUGCGAUUGACGCUGAGGCUCGAAAGCGCGGGUAUCAAACAGGAUUAGAUACCCUGGUA